GCAGGGGCGGGGCCUGGGAGUCCGGCCGGCCCCGCCCUGGCCUGGGGGAGGCAGCGGGGUGGGGCCGGGCGGGGAGGAGGACUGUAGGGGUGGGGGCCUACAGAAGCAGGCCCGGGCCCCAGUGGGACCGGCGCCUCUCCCCUGCAGUCUUCCAGCCUUCCUGUCCAGGACCAUGGACACGGACCUGGCGAUCCGGGCCUUGGAGAAGGAACUCUUGUGCCCGGUCUGCAGGAACUUCUUCCGGGACCCGGUCACGAGCCCUUGCGGCCGCACCUGGUGUCGCGCCUGCUUCCCCGGGGGGGCCCCCGGGGAGCUGCGGACCAGCCUGCGCCUGGACAGAGUGCGGUCCCUGCUGCUGCGCCUGCAGCCCCGGCGGCCCCGUGAGCUCCCCCGGGACCACUGCCCCCUGCAUAUGGAGCCCUUCGCGUUCUUCUGCUGCCAGGACUGGGAGCGCGCAUGCAAAGUGUGCAGAUACUCCCAGGAGCACUCGAAGCACCACAUGAUCCCCCUGGCCCCCCAGAGCCCCUCCGGUGAGUGAGCGGGGGCCAGCCUUUGCCCGUCGCAGGCGCCGGGGUGGAGGAGAGGCACUGCACUGGCCAGGAAGGGGCAGGGGCGAACCCCACCGUGCCGGCCGGCCUCCCCGUGUGUCCGGCUGAAGCUCCACUGGCAUCUGGCCGAAGCUCCCCGUGCGUCCAGCUAAAGCUCCCCUGUGCGUCCGGCCAAAGCUCCCCUGGCAUCCGGCCGAAGGUCCCUGUGCUCCCCACAGUGUGGCCCCGAAGCCGUCCCGGCCCAAGUGGAGGAUGUGCAAUAAUAAAUAAUGGCACCG
rnacentral:lncRNA from 1 species